GCCGCGUGAGUGAUGAAGGUUUUCGGAUCGUAAAACUCUGUUGUUAGGGAAGAACAAGUACGAGAGUAACUGCUCGUACCUUGACGGUACCUAACCAGAAAGCCACGGCUAACUACGUGCCAGCAGCCGCGGUAAUACGUAGGUGGCAAGCGUUGUCCGGAAUUAUUGGGCGUAAAGCGCGCGCAGGCGGUUUCUUAAGUCUGAUGUGAAAGCCCACGGCUCAACCGUGGAGGGUCAUUGGAAACUGGGAAACUUGAGUGCAGAAGAGAAGAGUGGAAUUCCACGUGUAGCGGUGAAAUGCGUAGAGAUGUGGAGGAACACCAGUGGCGAAGGCGACUCUUUGGUCUGUAACUGACGCUGAGGCGCGAAAGCGUGGGGAGCGAACAGGAUUAGAUACCCUGGUAGUCCACGCCGUAAACGAUGAGUGCUAAGUGUUAGAGGGUUUCCGCCCUUUAAUGCUGCAGCAAACGCAUUAAGCACUCCGCCUGGGGAGUACGGCCGCAAGGCUGAAACUCAAAGGAAUUGACGGGGGCCCGCACAAGCGGUGGAGCAUGUGGUUUAAUUCGAAGCAACGCGAAGAACCUUACCAGGUCUUGACAUCCUCUGACCCUCCUAGAGAUAGGACUUUCCCCUUCGGGGGACAGAGUGACAGGUGGUGCAUGGUUGUCGUCAGCUCGUGUCGUGAGAUGUUGGGUUAAGUCCCGCAACGAGCGCAACCCUU
rnacentral:rRNA from 1 species